rnacentral:rRNA from 1 species
UGGGGAAUCUUGGACAAUGGGCGAAAGCCUGACCCAGCAACGCCGCGUGAAGGAUGAAGUAUUUCGGUAUGUAAACUUCGAAAGAAUAGGAAGGAUAAAUGACGGUACUAUUUAUAAGGUCCGGCUAACUACGUGCCAGCAGCCGCGGUAAUACGUAGGGACCAAGCGUUGUUCGGAUUUACUGGGCGUAAAGGGCGCGUAGGCGGCAAUUCAAGUCAUCUGUGAAAUCUCCGGGCUUAACUCGGAACGGUCAGAUGAUACUGCUUUGCUAGAGUGCAGAAGGGGCAAUCGGAAUUCUUGGUGUAGCGGUGAAAUGCGUAGAUAUCAAGAGGAACACCUGAGGUGAAGACGGGUUGCUGGGCUGACACUGACGCUGAGGCGCGAAAGCCAGGGGAGCAAACGGGAUUAGAUACCCCUGUAGUCCCUGAGCGGGCUGGCAAGGCGCAU